rnacentral:rRNA from 1 species
GAUGAACGCUAGCUACAGGCUUAACACAUGCAAGUCGAGGGGAAACGAUGAGAGAGCUUGCUCUCUUAGUCGUCGACCGGCGCACGGGUGAGUAACGCGUAUCCAACCUGCCUCUGACCAAGGGAUAACCCGUCGAAAGUCGGACUAAUACCUUAUGCAGUCGUCGGAAGUCAUCUGAUGACGACGAAAGAUUUCAUCGGUGAGAGAUGGGGAUGCGUCUGAUUAGCUUGUUGGCGGGGUAACGGCCCACCAAGGCGACGAUCAGUAGGGGUUCUGAGAGGAAGGUCCCCCACAUUGGAACUGAGACACGGUCCAAACUCCUACGGGAGGAAGCAGUGAGGAAUAUUGGUCAAUGGGCGUAAGCCUGAACCAGCCAAGUAGCGUGCAGGAUGACGGCCCUAUGGGUUGUAAACUGCUUUUAUGCGGGGAUAAAGUGAGGGACGUGUCCUUCAUUGCAGGUACCGCAUGAAUAAGGACCGGCUAAUUCCGUG